rnacentral:rRNA from 1 species
CCCGUCAGGACGANCGCUGGCGGCGUGCCUAAUACAUGCAAGUCGAACGCUUCUUUCCUCCCGAGUGCUUGCACUCAAUUGGAAAGAGGAGUGGCGGACGGGUGAGUAACACGUGGGUAACCUACCCAUCAGAGGGGGAUAACACUUGGAAACAGGUGCUAAUACCGCAUAACAGUUUAUGCCGCAUGGCAUAAGAGUGAAAGGCGCUUUCGGGUGUCGCUGAUGGAUGGACCCGCGGUGCAUUAGCUAGUUGGUGAGGUAACGGCUCACCAAGGCCACGAUGCAUAGCCGACCUGAGAGGGUGAUCGGCCACACUGGGACUGAGACACGGCCCAGACUCCUACGGGAGGCAGCAGUAGGGAAUCUUCGGCAAUGGACGAAAGUCUGACCGAGCAACGCCGCGUGAGUGAAGAAGGUUUUCGGAUCGUAAAACUCUGUUGUUAGAGAAGAACAAGGACGUUAGUAACUGAACGUCCCCUGACGGUAUCUAACCAGAAAGCCACGGCUAACUACGUGCCAGCAGCCGCGGUAAUACGUAGGUGGCAAGCGUUGUCCGGAUUUAUUGGGCGUAAAGCGAGCGCAGGCGGUUUCUUAAGUCUGAUGUGAAAGCCCCCGGCUCAACCGGGGAGGGUCAUUUGGAAACUGGGAGACUUGAGUGCAGAAGAGGAGA